UGGGGAAUCUUGCACAAUGGGGGCAACCCUGAUGCAGCGACGCCGCGUGAGCGAUGAAGCCCUUCGGGGUGUAAAGCUCUUUCGGCAGGAACGAUAAUGACGGUACCUGAAGAAGAAGCUGCGGCUAACUACGUGCCAGCAGCCGCGGUAAUACGUAGGCAGCAAGCGUUGUUCGGAGUUACUGGGCGUAAAGAGUGCGUAGGCGGUCUUCUAAGUCUGGUGUGAAAUCUCCCGGCUCAACUGGGAGGGUGCGCCGGAAACUGGAAGGCUUGAGUAUGGGAAAGGUAAGCGGAAUUCCUGGUGUAGCGGUGAAAUGCGUAGAUAUCAGGAGGAACACCGGUGGUGUAGACGGCUUACUAGACCAUCACUGACGCUGAGGUACGAAAGCGUGGGUAGCAAACAGGAUUAGAUACCCCCGUAGUCC
rnacentral:rRNA from 1 species